CCUACGGGGGGCUGCAGUGAGGAAUAUUGGUCAAUGGGCGUAAGCCUGAACCAGCCAAGUCGCGUGAGGGAUGAAGGUUCUAUGGAUCGUAAACCUCUUUUAUAAGGGAAUAAAGUGUGGGACGUGUCCUAUUUUGUAUGUACCUUAUGAAUAAGGAUCGGCUAACUCCGUGCCAGCAGCCGCGGUAAUACGGAGGAUCCGAGCGUUAUCCGGAUUUAUUGGGUUUAAAGGGUGCGUAGGCGGCCUUUUAAGUCAGCGGUGAAAGUCUGUGGCUCAACCAUAGAAUUGCCGUUGAAACUGGGGGGCUUGAGGAUGUUUGAGGCAGGCGGAAGGCGUGGUGUAGCGGUGAAAUGCUUAGAUAGCACGCAGAACCACGAUUGCGAAGGCAGCCUGCCAAGCCAUGACUGACGCUGAUGCACGAAAGCGUGGGGAUCAAACAGGAUUAGAUACCCCAGUAGUC
rnacentral:rRNA from 1 species